GUCUACAGCCUUACCACUUGACUGUGCACAAUCUCGUCUGCUCUUGUAAGCUAAGCAGGACUGGGCCUGGGCAGUACUUGGAUGGGAGACCGGUCUAUGUGCUUAAGCCU
ensembl:rRNA n-R5s43 nuclear encoded rRNA 5S 43